rfam:Myotis brandtii contig323393, whole genome shotgun sequence.
GAGACACCCUUAUGGCGCAGGACUUGCUUCAGUGGGGCUAUGGUGCUCACUGAGUCUGCUCCUUGAGUGUGUCACU